UGGGGAAUAUUGCACAAUGGGGGAAACCCUGAUGCAGCGACGCCGCGUGAGCGAUGAAGGCUUUCGAGUCGUAAAGCUCUGUCCUAUGGGAAGAUAAUGACGGUACCAUAGAAGAAAGCCCCGGCUAAUUACGUGCCAGCAGCCGCGGUAAUACGUAAGGGGCGAGCGUUGUCCGGAAUUAUUGGGCGUAAAGAGUGCGUAGGCGGCAAAUUAAGUCAGAUGUGAAAACUAAGGGCUCAACCCAUAGAUUGCAUCUGAAACUGAUAUGCUUGAGUCAAGGAGAGGAAAGUGGAAUUCCUAGUGUAGCGGUGGAAUGCGUAGAUAUUAGGAAGAACACCGGUGGCGAAGGCGACUUUCUGGACGACAACUGACGCUUAGGCGCGAAAGCGUGGGGAGCAAACAGG
rnacentral:rRNA from 1 species